rnacentral:rRNA from 1 species
UACGGAGGAUCCAAGCGUUAUCCGGAUUUAUUGGGUUUAAAGGGUGCGUAGGCGGCUUUUUAAGUCAGGGGUGAAAGACGGUGGCUCAACCAUCGCAGUGCCCUUGAUACUGAAGAGCUUGAAUGAACUAGAGGUAGGCGGAAUGUGACAAGUAGCGGUGAAAUGCAUAGAUAUGUCACAGAACACCGAUUGCGAAGGCAGCUUACUAUGGUUUUAUUGACACUGAGGCACGAAAGCGUGGGGAUCAAACAGG